UUUAUAAUGUUUAAUUCUAUAAGUACGUUAUUGCUCUAUUUCAACUGCAGAGUGACAAUAAAAUGGUUUAUUAGGUUUAUAACUUUUUUUCUUAAUACAAGCCCACCCCCCCAAAAAAAACAACAAAAAAACAAUGAAAAUAAACACAAUAAACAUUACGUCAAACAAUAAUUGAAAUACAGAGAAUAAGUAUUUUGGAACUUUCUUUUUGAUGAAAGUAAAUAGAUUCCUUUUCAUGUAUCAUUUUAAAAAAAAAUAGUUCGAGGGGAGACAGUAGAUCAAUUUACACUUCACAAAGGAAG